UUUCACUGUUUAACCUUUUGUGACAUAAAUUUAUUUGUUAUUAUAUACAUUUGGUGCUUGGAAUGGAACUUAGAGCCUUGGGCAUGCUAGGCUAAUACCCUACCACUGAGCUACAUCCCCGGCCUCACAUGACAUGAAUUUUGAACCAAUAAAAUUUUAAAAAUUAACUUUCAAAAUAUUCCUGUUCUACCUAUUUACUAUUUAUUAGUCUUUGGGCAAGAGACUGAACUUCUAGUUCGAGUUGUUUAUCGAGAAGGUGAUGGUCAUUGCUCCACAAUGUUUUUUUUUUUUUAGCUUUUUUUUAGUUGUAGAUGGCCAUAAUACCUUUAUUUUAUUUUAUUUGUGGUGUUGAGGAUUGAACCCAGCACCUUACAAGUGAGGGGCAAGCGCUCUACCUCUGAGCUACAACCCUAGCCCUCCACAAUGUUAUACAUGGAAGCAAAGUGAAGAAAUAAUCUAUAAUGCCUUCACAUAACAAAGAUUCAUUAAGUGCUUUAAUCCCAGCGACUGAGGAAGGCUGAGGCAGGAGGAUCGCAAGUUCAAAGCCAGACUCAGCAACUUAGCGAGACCCUAAGCAACUUAAUGAGACCCUGCUUCAAAAUAAAGCAUAAAAAGGUCUGGGGAUAGGGUUCAGUGGUAGAGUGCCUCUGGGUUCAACCUGUGGUACCAAAAAAAAAAAAGAAUUCACUAAGUAGUAGCCAAUUACUCCUAAGACCAAAGAUUCUAGCUGCUCAUCCUGAAGAAGCUCACAAACAAACUGGGAAGACAAUAUUGGCCAGGAGCCUUCGUUCAGGGCAUGAGAGUGUGCCCAGGGCUGUCCUCCUUCUCAUCACAGUUCUUGUAACAGCCCAGGGCAAGGCAAGGGAGGACAUGCCAUGCCACCCUGUUUUACAAACAGGGAACCUGAGGCUGACUUUCUGAAGGUCACACCUAUGAUGGCAGAGCAGGUCUAGAAUUCAACCUCAUAGCUUUCUGACUUGACUUCCUUGUGUUCGUGCUUCCCUGGAGUUGAAGGCUAUUAGGUACUGGCCUGAGGGGUCAGGUCAGGGGAGGACCUGAGAUGUUCUGCGCCUCCUGCCCAGUAUCUCCCAGAAGCAGUUCCUUGCUGGUGGGUGUGUGAUCGAUGGCUAGAAGAUAGCGUAGCCCAGAAGGGGGCAGGAAAACAAUUCAGCUGGCUUCACUACUUGAGCAUGGGGAUCUGUGUACUUCUGCAGUUUGCAUUUCUUUCUUAAUGCCUUCUGCUUCCUAUUUCCACUCUGGGUGGAACCAUCUCUGAUCUCUGAGCAUUACAAUGGUGGUUUUCUAAGCCUUAAGAGUGUUGGAUUCAUCAGGGUAGUUUGCAUCCUUGGAUACUAGGCUGCAUGGCUGUGAAAGGUCACCCAACUGCUCCAUGCCCAACAUCACAGAGGAGGACAAGGAGGGUAACAGAAGCGAGAGUGACACUCUCAAGUAACACUCCUUCUUGAAAUGCUAGACUUGAACACAGAUCUAUUCUAGAAAAAGUGGCAACUGAGGUUCUCAAGAAUUUUUGGCUUCAGAAUAUAGCAAUAGAAGGUUUUCUGUGGAUUCAUCAGUGUCUCUGCAUAUGCAGAGGGGUCUGGGAUACACAAGUGUGCUGGUAAUAACUUGCCAAGCAGGUGUUAAGUUCAAGUGGUUCCAACCUCAGUAAGAUUCAGAGAGGUAAAUGUCAUGGUCUCCAUUGUCUAGCUGAGAGAACUGGGGUUCAGAGAGCUUAAGAAAACUGCCCAGUAUUUCGUAGCUAGUAGGAAAGAAAACCAGGAUUUGAACCCACAUCCAGCUGUUUUGAAACAUCACACCGUCUCUAUACCAUAAAGUUGGGAGUUAGAACCGAGGGUGAAGUUGUCCAUGAAUGAAACCACAGCGUGGCUAGGCAAGUGGAACUGCUACCUUCUUUGGGUCUGACCAAGACAUCACGAGUUGGUCUCUGAAAACCUGGGGACUGCCAGCAAAAUUCCCCUAGAGGGUAGAUGUUCAGGCUUCCUGGCCUGGUGCAGGGUGAAACCCAGAGUUGGUUCUCUGAGCUGGAUGUGAGCCAGCUUGAUCUGUGAUACUCUGGGGACCUCCAUUUAGUUGUCACAGGCAGCCCCUUCCACAGCCUGCAGUUGCUCCUGUGCUAGGAGUUCCGCCAUCCAGGCCACAGAAGACCGGCCCUGGAAUUGGUGCCGGAGCCAGAGGUCUGACUCCUUGGCAAAGACUCUGUCCCAUAGAGAGGGGUCUUCCUUAUGAGAUGGUGACUCGGUGACCCCCGUUGGAUCCUUUCUCAUGGAAAGUGUGAGUACAUGAUGUGCACUUGGAAGUGACCUUGCAGCUGUGUCCUGAGAGAGGAUGAGCCAUCUGGAGAUGGGUUUUCAGGAGGGCCCAUGUGGAAGGGACUGUGUUCAGAAGAACCCCUAGGCCGGGCUGAUAGAGUUUCUGCAGGGAGUUUUAGCGUCCUCAUAAAUCCUCACCUAAACCAAGGUCCUCGAAUUCUCUGGCUGUGAAGGAGCAGGUUUUGCUUCCACGAUCUAGUCACACCAGUUGUAAUCCCCUAUCUCCUACAGCUGCAGGGAGUCUCAGGGUUGUGAGGGGCAGUGAGGAAUGCUCACACAUUCCUGGUGGUCUUGCCACACCUCUGCCUUAUGCUUCUUGUGUCUAGCUACGAUCAAGUAAGAGGGACCAAGGAACUGGGGAUGUAUCUAAGGAGGUAAUCACAAUGAUUGGCCAUGGAAUUGAAAAUGGAUAAGGAGGGUGGAGGGGUGAAGUACAAAAUGAGUGAGGAAGGGAGAGGUGGGAAGAGAUGGUGGAGCCGAGGGUUAUUGGAAUUGAAGUCCCAGAGGAGGAGUGGAGAGAGAAGAAUUUAAGAGAGGGUGCAGGAAAUUGAGAUUAGGGUGGGAGUGGAUGUUUUGGUAUUAACAAGGUCUAGCCAGGCACAAGCCAGUAAUCCCAGCGACUCAGGAGGCUGAGACAGGAGGAUCACAAGGUCAGGGCCAGCCUAAGCAACUUAGCAAGACCUUGUCUCAAAAUGAAAAAAUAAAAAGGUCUGGGGAUGUAGCUCUGUGGUAAAGCACCCUGGGUUCAAAUGUCUAGGGUACACCCUUGGGAGCCGGUGGCUGGGAUAGGACAAGGGCAGGUUUUCAUGGGAAAAGAGGUAUUUAAGGAACUGUCUUUACUACAUUUUAAGACCUCUGAGCCUUCAGAUGAGGGACUAAGAGCUGAAGGAGAGUGUGAGUGGUUGGGGAGCUGAGACAUGGAGAAAUGAAGGCGCAGGAACCAGUGGGAUAAGUAGGCAUGUGGGCAGGUGUGGGCACGUGUGGCAAGGACACCAGCCCUUCUCAGAUGUGAAGAUGGACCAGUAUAAAAGGCCUGCCCCUGCUGGGAGUCUGUCUCCAGAUGACAAGACGGCAGCCUCUCAAUAAUUCAUACCGAUAGGUCAUCCAUUGCAGACUGACGGACCUCUCUUGAAGGCCUUUCUUUCUUUUUUCUUUCAAAUAUUUAGUUGUAGGUGGACACAAUAUCUUUAUUUUUUAUUGUUAUGUGGUGCUGAGGACCGAACCCAGGGCCUCACGUGUGCCAGACAAGUGCUCUGCCACUGAGCCCCAGCCCCAGCCCUUGAAGGCCUUUCUUGACUUCUGUAGUUGGGGAGAAGAAUUGAAGAUGUUCCAUAAAAACCAUUGUCACUCCUGCCCUGCUGUCAACUGCAUCUGAACUUAGUCUGCCCCAGACACAUCAAAACAUCUCCAAUGCUAAUAUGGAGCUUCGACCUUCGAUAAACAUGAGUAAGACAAGAGUCUUGACUAAAGAAAUCUGCUCUUGAUGCUAAGGCCUACUCCAGGUCUAUUCUAGAUCUGUGUCCAUGCCUAUGAAAUUAAGAAGUGUGACCGUGAUUGGUGAAUUACAUUCCAGCUUUCAAUCUUUGAUUCCAACCAUGAGGCUGGGCCCCUGGGUAGUCGGCACGUUUGCUGAGGCCAUGUUCCUGUCUCCUAGGCGGUGAGGAUAGAAAAGACAACAUGCCCCUCUUUCCUGCAUGUUAUCUUAGCUUUCUCUUCCCCUAGUAGCAUGUUGUUUGUAUCCUCUUGCUGCACCACCAAGUGGUUCUGCCACUUUUUACCUGGUGAUCAGAGGCAAGUCAACUUGUUCUAGCUUCUGGGAGCCUGGGGUGACAGUGUGCAUUCAAUAGCAAUCCUGUGUACAAACCCACUACAAUAUAGCUUCUGAAAUUAUGAAAGGAAGAGGUGUUUAGAGGGUAGGAGUCUAGGAAUUAUGUGUUUGAUUUCUGUAGUGUUUGGUUUUUUGCUAUUAGCAGGUAUAGGAGGUCUAUUUACGAGGGUUCAACUUGAUUUUUUGAACUUGCAAUGGUAGGAAAGCAAUAUACACUUAGUAGAAAGCUUACUUUGAAUUUUGAUCUUUUCCUGGUCUCCGGACAUAGAAUAAUCUUUCUGUUUUUCAUUUAUUUAUUUGUAUUUAUUUACUUAUUUUUGACAUGUCCAGGAUAGAACCCAGGGCCUCGUGUAUGCUAAAUGAGCCCUCAACCACUGAGCCUCGUCCCCAGCCCUGUUUUUCACUUUUAGAACAACAUUCAAUUCAUGUCAUUUCAUGAGCUAUUGAAUACUUUAUUAUAAAAGCAUACUUUAGGUUAGAUGUUUUGCCCAACUGUGGGUUAACAGAAGUGUUCUGAGCUUGUUUAAGGUAGAUGCGGCUAAGCUCAGAUAUUUGCUAGACUAGGUGUGUUCAACACAUUUUCAACUUGUUUUCUACUUCUGAUGGUUCAACAGGACGUCAUCAUUGUAAGUUGAGGAACCCUGCAUAUUGCUUUUGUACUAAAAAUUGUUUUUCUUUUGUGGUUCUGGAAAUUGAACCCUGUGCCUCACAUAUGCCAGGCAAGUGCUCUAUCACUGAGCUACAUCUCCAGCACCACCCCCACCAAUGUUUAUUUUUAAAAGUUAAGUUUUUGUGCUUUUGACUUGAAUGGUACCCUGUCAGUUGUGAGUCCAUAAUACACACUCAGAAGUUUUGGCCAUUAUAUAUGUCUUAGACGGAUUUGUUAAAUGUUAGAAUUGGUUCUUAUUUAAUAAGUGGAGUCAAGAUAUAAAAAGGAGUGAGGUUUGAUAAGAAAGCUGGGAUAUUGGCUCUGCUUGAAGGGUGUGUCUCUCCACUGCCCCUGGCUCUGACUUCUGUGUGGGUGGGAGGGGACCAGAGAAGCAGAGUCCUUGGGGCUGUGCAGAGGGUGCCGGUUGAACACAACGGUCAGCGAGGUUGAGGGUUUGGGCUGGGAAGGGUGCGGCAGGCCUGGGAAGGCCUCAAGCCCGGCUCUGCUGAGCUGAACUCAGGGCUUGCUAGUGAAGAGAGCGGGGGAAGUGGGUGGUUUUGAGUUUUACUUUCAGUUUUCAUUCAAAGUCAUUUCAGGAUGAAACCCAUGUAACGGUCAGAUCUCUCAGCCAGAUUUCUCAGCAAACCUGUGCUCUGCCCCACCCCAGUCCUCUGAGAUGGGCUUGAGGGUGGCCUGGGGCAGGUGAGCAGCAGAAAUGAGGGUUCU
rnacentral:lncRNA from 1 species